GGAUGAACGCUAGCUACAGGCUUAACACAUGCAAGUCGAGGGGCAGCAUUGGGAUAGCUUGCUAUUCAGAUGGCGACCGGCGCACGGGUGAGUAACGCGUAUCCAACCUUCCUGCCAGUAGGGAACAGCCCGGCGAAAGUCGGAUUAAUGCCCUAUGUUCUUCAAUGCGGACAUCUAAGUUGAAGGAAAGAUUCAUCGCUGGCAGAUGGGGAUGCGUCCGAUUAGCUUGCCGGCGGGGUAACGGCCCACCGGGGCGACGAUCGGUAGGGGUUCUGAGAGGAAGGUCCCCCACACUGGUACUGAGACACGGACCAGACUCCUACGGGAGGCAGCAGUGAGGAAUAUUGGUCAAUGGGCGUAAGCCUGAACCAGCCAAGUAGCGUGCAAGGAUGACGGCCCUACGGGUUGUAAAACUGCUUUUAUGCGGGGAUAAAGUGCGGCACGUGUGCCGCUUUGCAGGUACCGCAUGAAUAAGGACCGGCUAAUUCCGUGCCAGCCGCGGC
rnacentral:rRNA from 1 species